rnacentral:lncRNA from 1 species
UUUCACUUUCUUUAUGGUACAACUUAAUAAACAUAAGCUCUUGAUUUUAAUGUAAAUAAAUUAUCAAGCUUUUCGUUGAUACUUGGCACUUUUUGUUUCUUAUUUAAGAAAUAUUUCCCUACCCUAAGAUCAGAAAGAUAAUCCCCCCCAUAUUGUGGUACAUUUUUUUAAUUUGGUUUUUCAUGUUUAGGCUUUUAAUUCAGAAGGAAUUGAUUUUCGUGUGAGGCACAGAGUAGGAAUCCACUUUCUUUUUUUCCAAGAUGGAUACACAAUUUUCCCAGCACCAUUUUCUCCCCCAGGAGUCAGAAUCAGAAUGCCACCUCUGUCAUAUGUUAGGUUUUUUCCUGCUCCAUGUCUGUUCUUUCAGCAGUACCACACUGUUUAGUUACUGUAGCUUUGAAAUAACUCUUGCUCUCUGAUAGGACAAGUUUCUCCACACUGCAUAACAUCCCAUUCUCCAGGAGUGUUAGGACUAUUUGGAGGCCUUUGUUCGUUCUUUCUUUUAGAAUGAACUCAUCAGAUUUCUCAGAACUCUUAAUUAGAUUUUGAUUGAAAUUGCACUGAUUCCACAGAUUACCUUGGAGAGAACUGAUACCUUGAUAACACAGAAUCUCCUUAUUCAUGAACAGUUAUUUUGAUCCUCACUAAUGCCUUUCAAUAAGUUUUUGGGUUUUGAUGUAUUUUUAUGUAUUAUUGCUGUCUUGUAAGAUUUAUUCCUGAGUAUCUUAUGUAUUUUGGUUCUGCUGUAAAGCAUAUUUUUUAAAAUUGGUGUUUCAGUUUGUUGUUGGUAUGUAGAAGUACAGAUGGUUUUAUAUUAAUCUCAUGUUUAAACACCUUGCUAAACACUUGCUGUUUCUUAUAAUUUGUAGAUCUUGCAUGUGUACUAACACAUUCACAUUGUCUGUGUAUAAUUAGAGUUUUGUUUCUUCCUUUUUGAUUCUUAUACCUUUUAUUUCCUACCGUAUUGGCUAGAACUUCAAGGAAAAUGUUCGAUAGAGGCAGUGCUAGUUCGCAUCCUUAUGUUGUUCCUCACUGUUACCAUUGGGAACAAUGUUUGCUCAUCAGCCCCCCAGUACAUAGUUGUAUAUCUUAGUUAUAGGUCCUUCUCGCUGUGCUAUGUGGAACGCUGCCUCAGCGUAGCCUGAUGAGUGGUGCCAUGUCUGUCUCAAGAUCUGAACCAGUGAAACCCUGGGCCGCUGAAUCGGAGCAUGUGACCUUAACCACUUGGCCACGGGGCCAGCCCACGUUUAUAGACUUUUUAAUGUUAAACCAUCCUGCUUAAUCUAACUUGGUUAUGUAGUGUUAUCAGUUUCAUACAUAUGUGGCUGAAUUUGAAUAUUUAUUUAGAAUUUAUUCAUCUAUGUUCAAGAAUGAAAAGUGUUGCUUGCACACAUUAUGCUUAUUUGGUUUUGGUAUUAAGAUAAUCAAUUCUUCGUAUAUUCUAAAGCUAUCUUAUUGGGUGGAUAAAAAUUUACAAUUGUUAAAUCUUCUUGUUGGAGUGAAACAUGAUUCUCUGUGUCCCUUAAUUCAGCUACCCUGUGUUUCUUUUGAUUAAUAUUUGCCAAUUAUCUGUUUUAUAUUCUUUUACUUUAAACUUUCUGUUUACAUGUGGCUUAGUUUUAUUCUCUAUAAACAGAAUAUAGCAGGAUAUUGAUUUUACAUUGAGUGUAAUUCUCUAGAUCUUUUAAUUGACAAG